CCCUGGGAGGAAGGGGGCGGAGCGGAGCGUCCCUAGGCGCCGAGUCAAAGCCUGCGGCUAAGCCCCCUGGUCCCACACUUACGCUUCCGCUAGCAGCUGAAUGCGUCCUGCCGUCGCUCGGGAGUUGGGUAAGACGCUCCCGGGACACUCCUUAUUUACCUUUGGGAAGCAAGGGCCAAGGCACCUUCUGUACCGCCUCCUAGCCCAACACAGACCCGGUACCAAGGCUCGGCUAACGGCCUCAAGUGGUGGGACUUGAAUUUCUCCCUCGAUGAAAUCCCAGCCUCUUCAUCCGCUCCCGUUCCCAGCCCCGGGCCAAGGCCCAGUAUGACGGGAAGCAACUUGGCCCUCGGGGUAGGCCAGGGCCGCUGCUCUCCACCCUGCAACGCGGCGCAUUCGCUCCUCCAGGACUUUGCUGGAGGGGGCCGGUUCCUGGGUCGGCCCCAGCCCGUGGCCCUUCUGGCCACCGUGCUCUACAAGCCCUUAUACCCAAAGGCGCAUUCCAGGGAUCUCAGCCCUGAACCAGUGAAAAAUGGGUGAGACGUUCUCCCAGCUGAGCUCUGGGGAGGAUGAGAACAAGGCGAUCCUGCCCCCUGACUCAGCCAUUGGCAGCAAGGCUGCCACCUACUCCAGCACCCAUAGCAGCAAGACUUGUUCCUGUGUGCCUUGUAAAGGGGCUGCUGGUGCCAGCUUUGUGACCUGUCCCACCUGCCAGGGCAGUGGGGAGAUCCCUCGAGAGCUGGAGAGGCAGCUGGUGGCCCUCAUUCCUUACGGGGACCAGCGGCUGAAGCCCAGGCACACGAAGCUCUUUGUGUUCCUGGCAGUGCUUGUCUGCCUGAUGACCUCCUCCCUCAUCGUCUUUUUCCUGUUUCCCCGGUCCGUCGCCGUGCAGCCUGCGGGCCUCAACUCCUCCUCGGUGGCCUUUGAUGAGGCUGAUAUCCACCUCAACAUAACGAAUAUCUUGAACAUCUCCAAUAGCAACUACUACCCCAUCACCGUGACCCAGCUGAGCACUGAGGUCCUACAUCUGUCCCUUGUGGUGGGGCAGGUCUCCAACAGCCUCUUCCUACCCAUUGGUCCUUUGGCCAGUGAACAGAUAUUCUACACAGUAGCAAACAAGAUAUGGGAUGAAAACACAUACAAAAUCUGUUCCUGGCUGAAAAUCAAAGUGCACCAUGUGCUAUUGCACAUCCAGGGCACACUGGUCUGUUCCUACAUGAGCCAUUCAGAGCAGCUCGUCUUCCAGAGCUAUGAAUAUGUGGACUGCCGGGGAAACACAUCAGUGCCCCACUUGCUGAUUCCUCACCCACCAUGACCUGUCUGCUGUCCUGAAUUCCAGGCCCCUGACAGCCUGGUCUGUAUCUCCCGCAACUCCCUGGUGCCCAAGGAAAGACUAUAGUGACUUUGCCAAAGGAAAAGCCCUGCUUCAUCAUACCUCUCUCUACACAGGAAGCUCUGUGGAAGUUAACACACACACAUACUCACAUCUGUGAUCUCACGGGAAUGGAAGCCUGAUUCUUCUAGGGGCCAGCACCAGAUUUCUCCCUUGGUCUGCCUUGAGGAAAGGCUGACCCGAGGUUUUCUCAGAGCUGCCUUAGAGUCCCUGGAGUGGCACCUGCCCUUUCAGUGCCGAGCACUGUGGUUGCCCACCUCCUCGGGCUGGCCUUCCUCCUGCUUGAAUGCAGAGAAAGCUUUGAUUUUAUCUGUCUUUUAAAGUAUGUAUCCUUCUCAAGUUCUUCACCCAGUGGUGAGGAAGUGACUUGAGGGACCUCCAGUGCUAUCUCCAAGGCUGUUUAGAGGUCUGUGGAUACGCUCCUGUGCCCCGUGCUUUGGUUGUGUGACAAAGUGAUGGUGAUGGUCUGUUUCUCCCCUGGUAACUUGUCCCCCGCCCAUCGACAGCAAGAUUGGCCAGGGCCCUUUGGCUUUGUAUCCUUCCUGUUAAAGACUGUCCCUGUUCCUAGGAAGACAGAGCUAUUCUCCGGCUGAAGCUUCUCUCCAUAAAACAGGUCUUUCUGUUCUCUUCACAUCACAAGCCAAAGCUGUAGGGGAGAGUUGGGGGGCACCUGGCACCGUCCUUGGCCUACAUAAGGAAAAAUAGACAAAGCCAGAGUAAUUUUAAAAGAUGUUUAUUGAAGGAGGGCUUUUGGCUGGUGGUGAACUGCCAACCCUAAGCCCAUGACAGUGGACACAGGCAGGUCAAGUGGUUGGCCCAGCUGUUCCUCCCAGGAAGCCUGCAGAGCUGAAACUCAGUAUCCAACCAAAGGGCCCGCGUCCUCCAGAGGCCUCUGUUUUCCUUUGGGCAUUGACAGUAUGGAGCUGCACAUGAGUAGGGACUGGUCUAGAUCCUCUCCUCUUUGCUGUCACUCAGAUGAAGCUAGGCCCUAGAAUACCCCAGGUUCAUUGGGCUCUGAGUGGAGGUGAGCAGGAAAGGUAGUUGCUCCCUAAAGGAGGUGAUGGUUUUUAUCACUCAGACAGAUGGGAAGAUGAGCUUAGGUGGUGGGAAAGCUGAAUUUGAAGUUGGAUGGAUAGAGAGGGCAAUGAUGACAGAACCAGGUGACUAGCUGGCAGGGGAACAAGGGGAAAGAAGGAGGUUGUGCUGUCUCCACAUUCUCAUGCGUGGUUAACUGGGGUCAAGGUGGUUCUGGCAGGGGCACAGAAGUCCAUCCAGGCCAGAUAUAGCCCAUCUGCUCUAUGUAGGUCACCAGAUGUCAAAGUUUACAUUGUUAUUCAAUAAACUGCACUUAAUGUUAAAAAAAAAAGUGUCCUGUGAGUGGGCAGGUUGCUGGUGGCCCCUCUGCAUCUCAGCCUGUUUCUUAAUACCCGAGGUCUCUUCCCCAGGUCUAAGUCCUGAUAACAUGCCCUGCUUUUCUGGCUUCUGAGGGGCAGCUCCCAGAAGCUCACUCGCCCUGUCUCUCACUGUAUCUCUAAGGGCCCUUCCCUCCUUCAUAUUCCCGUCCGUGUCCCCGCAUACCUUCCCCAGCCGCUCUCCUCAGGAAACACCGCACUGCAGCCCCUUCAGUCUAACCCAAAGGCAGUGCCGUUUGACCUACAGUGAAAGGCCUCAGGCAUGGCGCCCUAACCCCCAACCCCAUACCAGUCCAAGGGAGAAGGGGGCAGGGCUGGAGGUCCUGGGUGCUAGCUUCAGGAAGCAGUGAGGGGGAUACCUAGGGCCUUCAGAGCCUGUUGGCUGUCUCUGAGACCCAAGGAAGAGGCCUGUAGAUUUUUGCAAGCAGGUCCCUCUCCCCAUCCCCAGGUCAGAUGUCCUGUGCCUGCAAAUUCAGCCCCCUAUCCUCUGAGCCCUUUUCACCAUCCCUGCUUCCCAUCAUCCAUUCAGCGGCUAAGUGGGCACUGAGUGCCCAGUGAGUGGGCACUGUGGGCCAGGCGUUACAGUGGGCAUGGGGCUCUGCCUGCUGCCUGUGCCCUCUGCUGCCUCAGGCCUGCUCUGGUGUGAUGCAGCCCCUCCUUCCCCAGCUGUAUCUCAGUAAUCUGGUAGUGGGAAGGGGCAAUGCCUCCACUGAGAAUCCUGACCCUGACAGACCUAUUGUUGCUAAAUAAGGGCCAGGAGUGGAGCUGUAGACUUGUGGGGGCCAAAGCCAAGUUCUCCCAUUGGCUAUGCCUAGAGAAGCAUUGAACUACCCUCCACUUUCUUCUUCCACCCUCUCUAUCCCCUGCAUGAGUCCUCCCGCACCCUUCCCCUCAUCCCAGUCUCACAGAGUUGACCAGUCUCUUGAUUCUUUCCAGGAAGACGUCACAUUUUAUUCCUAGCUAGCUGCCUCCUCUGAGGUGGGUCAGCAGAGGGUGGCUCUUGGACUGGAGAUGUUGGUAGGUGAUGAGAAGGUAGUGUUGCUCAGUUUUUUGUUGAUGGCCAAUGGUGUCUUGGGGACUCUGGAUC